rnacentral:pre_miRNA from 1 species
AGUUUACCCUUUCCCAAGGAAAUUACAGUUUUAGUGCUCUCUCCCUGGGAGAGAGCACUAAAACUGUAAUUUCCUUGGGAAAGGGUAAAC